UGAAACACGGACCAAGGAGUCUAACAUGUGAGCAAGCGAUUGGGAUUUGUGACGAAUCCCAAACGCGCAAUGAAAGUGAAGUGUCGCUAUUAGCGGCACGAGCGGAGAUCAACGGUUGUUUCACGAUGACUGUUGCGCAUCCGCGGGCCGCGCCAUCGGCUGGCUUGCUGGUUUAUUCUGGCACUGCCGAGGCGUGGACCGAGAGCUGACACGCUGAGACCCGAAAGAUGGUGAACUAUGCUUGGCGAGGAUGAAGCCAGGGGAAACCCUGGUGGAGGUCCGUCGCGAUUCUGACGUGCAAAUCGAUCGUUUCAGCUGAGUAUAGGGGCGAAAGACCAAUCGAACCAUCUAGUAGCUGGUUCCGCCUGAAGUUUCCCUCAGGAUAGCUGGUGCCUGAUUGAUACGGAGUUUCAUCCGGUAAAGCGAAUGAUCAGAGGAGCUGGGCUAAAUUGAAGCUCAACCUAUUCUCAAACUUUCAAUGGGUGAGACGUCUCGCUGGCUUUAUUGCAGCGACGACUCUGAAUCCGGGUGCCCAGUGGGCCACUUUUGGUAAGCAGAACUGGCGAUGCGGGAUGAACCGCAUAUCGAGUUAAGGUGCCUAAGCGAACGCUCAUCAGAUACCAUGAAAGGUGUUGAUUGCUCACGACAGCAGGACGGUGGCCAUGGAAGUCGGCAUCCGCUAAGGAGUG
rnacentral:rRNA from 1 species